GCCGCUGCCCCGCCCGGGGCUGUGGGGGUGCCCGGCGGCGGUGUGAGACUGCGGUACCUUUGUCCCCGGGUGGCCUUCCAGAGCGACAAACAGGGUCUUCAACUCAGGGUCCGUCAUCACCUGCAGGGCUCAGCCAUCACCUUCACAGAUCUCACCACACAGCUGGAACAUUUGAGGACAAAGGGCUGGAGUGGAGACAGCCAAGUCCAUUUUUCUUUAUGGAUUCUGUGGGAUAUGCCAGCAUCCCUGCAACCAACUUUCCACUGUCUUUGUGUGCACCUGCUAUGCCUCACCAUCCACAGAAAGCAAAGCCCUUUGAGAGCAUAUCAGGCUCUCUUGCAGAUUCACUGUAUUAAAAAGACUUCCUGCCCUUCUUCUAAUGGAGUUGGGCAUUACUCACCAAUUUAUUAUCUCACUCACCAUGGGCAAGUUUCCAUGAGGAAAAUGUUUCAUCUUUUGGGUGUUUUUUUUUGUUUGUUUGUUUUAAAAUAUCUAAAGCUUUCUGACUUAAAAAACACCUUUGCUCUAGAGAA